ACGCUCGACACCUACGGGAGCAGCAGUAGGGAAUCUUCCACAAUGGACGCAAGUCUGAUGGAGCAACGCCGCGUGAGUGAAGAAGGUUUUCGGAUCGUAAAGCUCUGUUGUUGGUGAAGAAGGAUAGAGGUAGUAACUGGCCUUUAUUUGACGGUAAUCAACCAGAAAGUCACGGCUAACUACGUGUCAGCAGCCGCGGUAAUCUGAGCGGGCUGGCAAGGC
rnacentral:rRNA from 1 species